CCUGUGCCCCUCCGUUCCCAGUUCUUGGUAUGGGGUCAUUCUUCCCGGCUCUCCUGCCAUCCUGAAGCUAGGCGCACCCAAGCCUUCAUCCGCCGGAGAUUUUGGUGGCCUACCAUUGGAGGUGAUGUUCGUGCCUUUGUCUCAGCCUGUUCUGUCUGUGCACAGAGUAACUCCACGCAACCCCCUUCCGGCCAAUUGCAGCCCCUACCCAUCCCCAAGAGACCGUGGUCUCACAUUGCUCUGGAUUUCGUUACUGGCCUCCCACCGUCUGAUGUUUGUCCUCAGGGUACCAUCCUCAAAGCAAUGGCCAGACGGAGCGGGCAAACCAACAACUUGAGACAACUUUGCGUUGCAUGGCAGCUGAGAGACCGUUCUCCUGGAGCUCCCAGCUACCUUGGGUUGAGUAUUCAAUUAAUUCCCUCCCAUCUGCCUCCUCAGGCCUCUCCACUUUUGAAUGCUGUCUCGGCUACCAGCCCCCCCUAUUCCCUGCUCAGGAGGUAGAGGUCAGCGUGCCUUCAGCCCAGGCCUUCGUCCGCCAUUGCCGGCAGACAUGGAGAAGCACACGGACAGCUCUGCAGCGUGCCUCGGUCAAGAUGAAGAGUCAGGCAGACCGCCGUCGCUCUAAGGCUCCUCCCUAUCGUGUGGGACAGCGUGUCUGGCUGUCGACCCGGGACAUUCCACUCAGGGUGGAGUCUCGGAAACUCGCACCCCGCUUCAUUGGUCCUUACCCCAUUGAGAGAAUUAUUGGCCCCGCUGCUGUCCGUCUAAAGCUCCCCCCCAACCUCCGCCGCAUCCAUCCCACCUUCCAUGUUUCCAGGGUUAAGCCCUUUGUCUUGAGCCAGCUCUGCCCCGCCCCCCAAGCCCCCUCCUCCACCACGAAUCAUUGAUGGCUCAGAGACCUUCACUGUUCACCAGCUCUUAGAUGUUCGUCGCCGGAGCCGCGGCCUCCAGUUCCUAGUGGACUGGGAGGGCUACGGUCCAGAAGAGAGGUGCUGGGUUCCUGGUCGUGACAUUCUUGACCGUUCUCUCAUUA
ensembl:lncRNA